CCUAAAGCCUGAAGUUGCUCAGUCCUCCGAAUUAUGGCUGUCACUUCAGUUUGGUGGAUACGUAGUACAAGAGAAUCCGUCCAGAGUACACGGGCCUCUCAGUGUUGUGGCCUCUCCCGUUGCGGAGCACAGGCUCUGGACGCGCAGGCUCAGCGGCCAUGGCUCACGGGCCCAGCCGCUCCGCGGCAUGUGGGAUCUUCCCGGACAGGGGCACGAACCCGUGUCCGCUGCAUUGGCAGGCGGAGUCUCAACCACUGUGCCACCAGGGAAGCCCAAGGCACGGAAGAUGGCGAAAGAAGGCACGGAAGAUGGUGGAAGAGCAAGACACGGAGAUCACCUUCCUCCCCACAGAUACACCAGAAAUACAUCUACACGUGGAACAACUCCUACAGAACACCUACUGAACGCUGGCAGAAGACCUCAGACCUCC